CGUCCUCUACUGGAUAUGUGUAAGAGUAGCAGAGCUGGUGAAGGAGUGUUGUCCAUAGCCAGGUGGGAGCUCUUUGACACGUAGUGCUUGUGUGGUCCCCUGUGGGUGUAGUACUCAUCUAGCUUACAUGCCCACUCAUCAAUUUUCUGCAAUUCUCUUUUUUCUUUCCUUACUCUGCCAUAACUAAAAGCAUCAUCAGGUGAAAACACGCCCACUGCAGACGAUCACGAAACCAUAGCUGACCAAACACAGUUGGACCCAGUGGAGGAUGUGAGUCUUGCCUCUGAGGAGGCAAACCCGGGCAAGCAUCUGCCAGGAGAGGAGGCUGCAGCCGUGAUUCUGGCCGUAGAGGGAAAGAUCGAUUCGGUCAGUAAAAGGGAGGAACCGGAGGGCACCGAGCCCCUGCCUGCAGGAGUGGAGGAGAGCUCUGAGCUGCCAUCUGCUUGGCGAGAGGAGAGCAAUGGGCCUUCACCUCCAGCACCAGGAGAAGAUGAGCCUUCACCUCCAGCACCAGGAGAAGAUGCUGGGUCACCAUCACCAGGACCAGCAGAGGACAGUGGGCUGGUAGAGGGCAGUGACAGCUCUGUAGUGGAAAUCAUCAAGAAAGUACAUAUUACUGAAGAGGACCACCUCAUUGAGGGUGAGACGGGAGAACAGGUGGAAACUGAGCUGCUGAGUGAGAUAGUAAGUGGAGGGCCUGAAACAAAAGAAGAAGAAACAGGAGAAGCUGUGGAUGGUGCAGCAGCGACAGAGAUAGGUAUGUUGACAGAAGAGGGAAGGAUCGCAUGGGUUAUUGUUUAGGAGACAGAAAAGACUGUGCUGUCCUUAAUGAGCACGUCUUGUCAUC
ensembl:lncRNA